rnacentral:rRNA from 1 species
AUUGAACGCUGGCGGCAGGCCUAACACAUGCAAGUCGAGCGAGCGGCGGACGGGUGAGUAAUGUCUGGGAAACUGCCCGAUGGAGGGGGAUAACUAAUGGAAACGGUAGCUAAUACCGCACACCAUCAGAUGUGCCCAGAUGGGAUUAAGUAGUAGGUGGGUUAACGGAUCGCCUGGGCGACGAUCCCUAGCUGGUCUGAGAGGAUGACCAGCCGAACUGGGACUGAGACACGGUCCAGAGUCCUACGGGAGGGAGCAGUGGGGAAUAUUGCACAAUGGGCGCAAGCCAGAUGCAACCAGGCCGCGUGUUUGAAGAAGGCCUUCGGGUUGUAAAGCGCUUUCAGCGGGGAGGCGGUACCCGCAGAAGAAGCACCGGCUAACUCCGUGCCAGCAGCCGCGGUAAUUC